UGGAACGCGGUAAACCCCUCAAGCGGUAAACCCAAACUACGGUCGGGGAGCUUUGGAUAACAAAUUGAAGUGAUUCCAGGGGAGUGUCUUUGACGCUGAGAUAGAUGAUUACCACUGUAUAAUUUGUGCCUGACGAUUAUACUUUGACAAAACAUGGCCUACAGAA
rnacentral:RNase_P_RNA from 1 species